AUGGCGCCAUUUGAGGAAGAACUCGACACGCGCCGCCCAGCGCACACCUCGCCCACCUUGCCGCCGGCGCUCUCGCAUGAAGCCCACCUUGUCACAGCACCAGCGCACGUCGCACACCCCGCCGCUGCACCCGUGCAAGUCGCCGCCGGUGGUCGUUGGCCGGUCCGCUCGGUCCGGCCCGGGCUUGGCCGCUGCCGGUCCGGUCCCAGAAAUCAGGACCGUUGUGAUGCUCGGUCCGGUCCGGUCCGGACCGCCGGCGGCCGGUCCAAACGACGGCUCGGACCGGGACCGGACCGGCCCGGACCGUGUCCACCCCCCAACCUGCCGACGGCACUCGUCGAGGACAUCGCCGGCCGGCUGCUCAGCCACGACGUGGCCGAGUACAUCCGCCUCCGCGCCGCGUGCAAGGAGUGGAGGAGAUGCACUGCGGACCCGCGCGAGGGAUGCAACCACCUGGACCCCCGCUUCCGCCUGCGCCGCUGGAUCAUGCUGUCCAACCGCACCGACGGCGACGGCCGCCGCUUCCUCAACCUCUCCACCGGCGCCAGCGCCCGCGUCGACCUCCCGGAGCUCUCCCGACACCACCUCGAGGCCAGCACCGAGGGCCUCCUGCUCCUGCGCGACAAGGCGAGCCACGCCGUGCGCCUCCUCAACCCGCUCACCAGGGCCCUCACCGACCUCCCGCCCGUCACCGCGGACCUUGGCGGCGCGUACGCCGGGCGCUUCUACUUUGCAACUCUAGAGGGGUACAUGAUACAGGUAAGGCUCUGCCCAGAGCCUCGUCUGGUGCCCGUGGUCGUCGACCAGCCCAACACCCAGUACAACAUGUUCUGCUACCUCGUCCCUCCCGACGACGACCACCAUUGCGGUGGCGGCAUGCUCAUGGUGCGCCACUACCUCAACCUCGAUCACCUCAGCGCCGACGAGCGAAGAAUCAUGAAACGCAGGAGGAAGGUCAUGGACGUGAUCAGGAUGGAGCACCAUGUGAAGGCGCAACGGUGGAACCUGAUCCAGGUGUUUGAGGUGGAUGUGGCCGGGAGGAGACUUGUUCCGGUGGAGGACAUUGGCCGGCACCGCGCCGUGUUUGUCGGGGACGUGGCGUGCUUCUCCCUCUCGACCAGGAGGUUUCCAUGCGUGGCAGGGAACGCCGUGUACAUGGGGGCGCGCGGUGCCCGCUGCCCUCCUGUCGGCGUGCGGUAUCUGGCGGACAAGACUGCUGAUCCAUCGUUUGUGUUCACCACCGACGCGCCAGGAUUUUUAGACUGUAUAUCAGUGAAACAGUACCGCCAGAAGGCACCGGAGCUGAAUCUGGUGCCUCUUGCUCGCCCUUGUACGCUCCAAGAGUACCUCGUCUGUUGCGCAGGCCUACUCGGCGGCCUCAAAGACUAA
rnacentral:rRNA from 1 species